GUCGACCGCCUGGGGAGUACGGCCGCAAGGUUAAAACUCAAAUGAAUUGACGGGGGCCCGCACAAGCGGUGGAGCAUGUGGUUUAAUUCGAUGCAACGCGAAGAACCUUACCUACUCUUGACAUCCAGAGAACUUAGCAGAGAUGCUUUGGUGCCUUCGGGAACUCUGAGACAGGUGCUGCAUGGCUGUCGUCAGCUCGUGUUGUGAAAUGUUGGGUUAAGUCCCGCAACGAGCGCAACCCUUAUCCUUUGUUGCCAGCGAUUCGGUCGGGAACUCAAAGGAGACUGCCAGUG
rnacentral:rRNA from 1 species